CAGGGUAAAGGGGAGGGUGAGCCAGGGUGGGGAGUCCGUGAUUUUAAGUAGAAUGUCCUGGAAAGGCCUCUCUGAGACGAUGGCUCUUGCCUGGAGUCCAGAAGGAGGCAAAGGAAAGACGGUUUCAGGCAGAAGGAACUACAAGUGCAAAGGCCCUGGGGCUAGAGUGUGCCUGGAGUUUUCAAGCAGCCCUUGUGUGUGGGGCAGGUAAGUGUAUGAGAGCAGCCAAGUAUGAGGUAAGCAGGGCCCUGUGGGUCGCAGUGAGGACGGAGGGAAUGACAUAGCCUGACUCAUCCUUGGACAGUAUACCUCUGUCUGCAGCACCAAGAAUUGACUUUUGGGGGUGGUGGGGUGUGUGGCAGUGGUCAGGGGACAGCAGUGCCAAUGCUGAGCAGUGACCAGAUUCCAGAUCUAUCCUAACGCAGAGCAGCCACGACUUUCGCCUCCCCACAAACAGUAGCUAUCGAUGUUGACUUUGGGUGGGUCCAUCGGAAUAGCUUAGAUACUGGCCACAAAGGAUUGUGAGAACCAAAUAAAAGCUCCAGCUGAAUCCUGAUCUUUCCGGAUUUUUCUGAGGGGUUUACACUAAGCUGGGCUGACUGCUCCCGGAGGAGAGAAGAUUCCCUGCACCCCAAGAUUCUCCAUCAUCCUCUGGGUCACCGCCACCCCAGGUUUCCUAGGGUUCUCACAAAAGCAAAACAGACUUCUGCACGUGUCCUUCAUGCCGCGAGAACGGAUUGGCUCCUGAGGGAUACACGGAGACCCAGUGUAAGGCGAGGGCUCUGUGGGCCGGGCCGGGAAGGACGGACCUGCCAGACCUGCUCAUCUGCCUCCCGUUCAGUCUCGGGUCAGCCAUCGCUUCUCCGCCACAAGGACGGCCAGGGCAUGGAGUCUGUCCCCGGGAGAGCAGUCUUUGGGGCCUGAACUUUGAAUUCUGGAGCGACUCGGGGCUGGAGAGAGCAGGAAGCCCAUCUUGGUGCUGGUUUGGCCGGCUGUUCCCGCCGGGCCCCAUCCUGCCCUGCAGCCACAGGGGAAGGAACGGGCGGUGGCGGCGGAGCCACAGCUGGCCACGGAGGGGCACCACAGCUGGCCACGGAGGGGGCUCCAGAUCCCAACCCACCGCGAGUAGCUGCUGGGAACACGAGAGUGAGCAUUUUCAGUGAGCACUUCCUGUAGCCUGGGUUCCCCGUCCGGAGUGGGGGGUGGGUGCGUUCGUGGAGAUGAGACCUUCCGCCACCAUUUCCCAUUUUCCUGAAUUUACACCGGUUGGUUUUCUCUGGCUUUCCGGCGUUUCUAGUGGACAGACCUCUUCCAGAGGCAUUUGACUCCAGCCGCUCCAGCUUGUUAUUCCAGAGGAAAAGAACCAAAUCCCAGGAAUUCAGGGGUCUAAGAGAAACGUCCCCAUCUGUGCCCAAGGACCUCACCACAGCACCAAGGGGAUUGGAGGAAAAGUAGAAACAGCCUAAUACUGGCCACGGGGGGCAUCGACAGAAGUCAGAUGUGGCUUGUUCAUAUCAUUGAAUCCACAUGACUUAAAAAAGGAGGAGAGCUUGUAAGGACUAAACCUCGGAGGGGGGAACAUGUGGAGUGUAGAGCUGUGCCCAGCGUGACACUGUUUAUAGAAAGUUAGGGUCAAUAGGAAAGACACCGUUUAUGUUCAGCUGCUCCUCGCACAAGGAAUCGUGUAAAAGUGGGCGUCUGUUUGCAGACACACCCACACGUGGGACACGGCCCAGCAGCUCCCUCUGGGCACAGGGCGAGGGCCAAGCUGCAGCGAGCAGGACGGAGCCCACUCUAACGACGCAUUCCCUUAAUGAGGAACCUUCUGCUGAGUCUGAAUGACGGGCAAACACAUGUGUUGUCUGUUUGUGGGACUUUUUAAAGAGCUUGAACUAGGGGCGUCUGUGUGGCUCGGUGGGUUAGGCCUCCUGCUCGAUUUCGGCUCAGGUCGUGAUCUCAAGAUGGCGAGAUCGAGCCUGGACUCAGGGUCCGCGCUGGGCUCUCUCUCGAUGUCUUAAAAUAAACAAAAACAAAACAAAGCA
rnacentral:lncRNA from 1 species